CCAUUUUUGACUUUACAUAGUUAUAUAUCUAAUCAUACAAACAUUCAUCUUUAAACCCAUCGAUUCAGGUACAUAUCUACAAUGUGGAACAGAAUCCUUUUUCCGACGAGGGUUACCGUUUGAUAAACACUUAAUGAAAAGAAAGCAUAAGCCAGAUGUGACCAAAGAUAGUAGACAGUAAAACAGACAACUCUAAAAAACCGUACAAACGAAGACCAACAACAACGAAUAACACUGAUAAUGUUCUAGGUACAUGGACAACACAUGUGCAAUAAGAUAUACAGAUGUAACAUAUAACGUCUCAGAGUGAUAGAAACGUCGGCAAAUAAAUUACAUAAAGGAUAAUACAAUUUGCUCAAAAGAUUCCGACAAUAUAUAUCACUGCCACUGCAUCUAAUAUUCGGGAAACAGGAAGUAUUAACAAAGGAGGAAGUCAAACUUUAACUGUAAUCACAAAUGUUUUAGUGGUCCAUUACGUUACAUUCAAUGCAGAUGGUUUUGUAAGGUAUCGUUUAACAAAAUGCCGUGUUUGAUUAAAAUUACAAACAUAAACAUAACUCUGAAACGGGAAAUGCCAAUCAUUUGAAAA